rnacentral:lncRNA from 1 species
CGCGCCUCGGCGCCGCCGGGCAAAGGGGCGGCUCAGAGGUGCCCCUCGGGGAGCCCCGGUGCCCUUCGAGGCAGGUUUGCUGCGAACAGCGAGUGCCAGGAGACACGGUCCGGUGGGGCCAGCGGUGCCCGGCCGGCCAGACAGCCCGCGGGCACAGCCGGCUCGGCUCGCUGGUUGCUGGCGGUCCUCGAAUGCUUCGGUCCCUCUCCGAAGGCUUGUGGUCAAACCUCUGCAACCUCCACUUGCUGCUCUCUCCAGCCUAGCAAAACUACAGUGCUGCAACACAUCCAUUUUUAUUGUGGUGGUGCUGGUGGUUGCGGUUCUUGCUGUUCGUUUGGUCACAAGAUGAAAAAAAAAUGGAGUGAUGCUACUGGUGAAAGUGUGGCAGUUUGGGCAAGAAGUGAGAAAAUGUGGAAAGAGGAGUGUCUAGGAGACAUUGCAUCUGGGAGAGAUGUGAAACUGAGGUUCCUAAAUGUAUAGAAAUUUGGAAAUUGAACCAGGGUCACCCACGUUUUGGUAAGUACCACAAACAGUAGAUCACUGUAAAAAAGCAUUAUUGGUCCUGUAGGCAGCUAUUUUGGCCUUUUCAGGAUCUAAUUUUUAAAUCAAAGUAGAAUAUAAUUCAGUCUUUUGUAUCACUGGGAACCUCUCCUAGGUAUGGAGGUAUUGUUGCUGAAGGGUAUUGUAGCUGACAAUUAUCUUCUAUGUAAUUUUAAUGGUUUUAAAAUAUAUAUCUGAAGCUGACAAAGUGACCUAGCAUUUCAUUUGGAACCUAGUUACGUGGCUUAAUGGGAGGAAACCCCAAAAGCUAUCAGUCACAAUUAAUUGGUUUUACUCAGAGAUUUUGUGUUUUUGCUGUCGAGGUAAGAUCGGAUAGACAGCUUUCCAGUUUACCAAAUGUUGCCACUCAGUGGUAUCAGUGUAACUGUAAUAUCAUGCUUUUGAUUUAUUUAUGAACACCAUAUGCCUGUCAUGUUGGAAACCAAUGGAUGUUGUGUGUUCAUUCAUUAGGUUUCUGGAAACAACAAAGACCCGUGAUUAUAUUGCACACCAGUCAUUCUUGCCAGUGCUUUAUUUCAGUAAAUAAUAGUGGUCUUCAGAACAUUCACUGCACCAUCAAUUAAAUGCAGCUGGAAUUUCUAUAUACAUAUACAUAUACAUAUACAUAUACAUAUACAUAUACA